CACUGCAUUUAAUGGGUAGACACAGAAAAGCUUGCUGCUUUUGUUCUCUAAGGUUUCUGUUAGCCUUGUUGGGAUGAUGCUGUUCACAAACCCUGCCGAUUCUGCUGCUGCGCUUCUGCUUCUGCUUCUGCUUAGUGAGGCAUUUUAGCUUUGCAGGUUGUACAGCUAGCUGUAAAAAGCCGCCUCGUUGUUGGAUUACCACUGUACAAAAACUUGCUGUCUGAAAGCAAAAAAAGUGGGCUCUCCCUUUAUUUCAAUACCGGAAAAGAGUCAAAGUAUUGACUAUACCACUAUAUAUGCUGCAGAAAACAGCAUUCAGUGAUCUUAUAUAUGUUACAGGUUUUGUUUGUUUACCACUAAGAUACUGAGAAACAAAGUCAGAAAGAAAAGCAAGAGGGAAGAGAGGUAGUAGUCCCCAGGACGCGACGGAAACGAUGAUCCCCAAAAGUGACUGAACCCCUUUUGCAGUAUUACUUUUUCCCUUUGCUAUUUACAAAAUGAUCGAUAAGCUCAACAGAGAUCACAAUCAGUGUGUUCACAUUUAAUACCAAUAUGGACCAUGCACUCUUUAAAUCAGCACGCAGGAGAUGAAGAAGGACCAGCAGCAAGAAGAGGGAUACAAGAAAAACAAAACAAGGCCUUAUAGUCAUCAACCACUCACUUAAUCAUUACACACCACCAGUCUUUUCUCACACACAUAUAGAGUCGUAAGCCUUUUG